rnacentral:snRNA from 2 species
AAUAUUGUGAGAAAACUCUCUUAGAAUUGAUAGAAGACAGCCCUGGGGGAAUUCCAAUUGAAACUGUUAAGCUUUUAACCUUUCAAAUGCUUCGUGGUGUCGAAUUUUUGUGGGAAUUCAUGGAGAUAUGCCA